CGGUCUAUAAGAGGUGGGUUACCUCGACGGUCUAUAAGAGGUGGGUUACCUCGACGGUCUAUAAGAGGUGGGUUACCUCGACGGUCUAUAAGAGGUGGGUUACCUCGACGGUCUAUAAGAGGUGGGUUACCUCGACGGUCUAUAAGAGGUGGGUUACCUCGACGGUCUAUAAGAGGUGGGUUACCUCGACGGUCUAUAAGAGGUGGGUUACCUCGACGGUCUAUAAGAGGUGGGUUACCUCGACGGUCUAUAAGAGGUGGGUUACCUCGACGGUCUAUAAGAGGUGGGUUACCUCGACGGUCUAUAAGAGGUGGGUUACCUCGACGGUCUAUAAGAGGUGGGUUACCUCGACGGUCUAUAAGAGGUGGGUUACCUCGACGGUCUAUAAGAGGUGGGUUACCUCGACGGUCUAUAAGAGGUGGGUUACCUCGACGGUCUAUAAGAGGUGGGUUACCUCGGCGGUCUAUAAGAGGUGGGUUACCUCGACGGUCUAUAAGAGGUGGGUUACCUCGACGGU